AACGAACGCUGGCGGCGUGCUUAACACAUGCAAGUCGAACGCGAAAGGGACUUCGGUCCUGAGUAAAGUGGCGCACGGGUGAGUAACGCGUAGAUAACCUGUCUUCACGUCUGGAAUAAUACGCCGAAAGGGGUACUAAUACCGGAUAUUCUUGCUUUUCAUAAGUUUUGCAAGGAAAGGUGGCCUCUGUAUAUGCUACUGCGGGAAGAGGGGUCUGCGUACCAUUAGCUAGUAGGUGGGGUAAUGGCCUACCUAGGCAACGAUGGUUAGCGGGUCUGAGAGGAUGAUCCGCCACACUGGCACUGGAACACGGGCCAGACUCCUACGGGAGGCAGCAGUGAGGAAUAUUGCGCAAUGGGGGAAACCCUGACGCAGCGACGCCGCGUGAGUGAGGAAGGCCUUCGGGUCGUAAAGCUCUGUCAAAGGGAAAGAAGUGCAUGAUGGCUAAUACCUGUCAUGUUUGACGGUACCCUUAAAGGAAGCACCGGCUAACUCCGUGCCAGCCGCCGCCGUAAUAC
rnacentral:rRNA from 1 species